rnacentral:rRNA from 1 species
UACGUAGGGUGCAAGCGUUAUCCGGAAUUAUUGGGCGUAAAGAGCUCGUAGGCGGUUUGUUGCGUCUGCCGUGAAAGUCCGGGGCUCAACUCCGGAUCUGCGGUGGGUACGGGCAGACUAGAGUGAUGUAGGGGAGACUGGAAUUCCUGGUGUAGCGGUGAGAUGCGCAGAUAUCAGGAGGAACACCGAUGGCGAAGGCAGGUCUCUGGGCAUUAACUGACGCUGAGGAGCGAAAGCAUGGGGAGCGAACAGG